rnacentral:misc_RNA from 1 species
AACGCAUACACUGCCAUACCAGCAGCAAAAGGGAAGAACACCGGAACCUUCCGCCCACCUUGCCCCGCAAACGACUCUUCAGCCUCCGUAAAAAAGCUGGGGAUUGGGAGCCAUGGGAUUUCAGCAUGCGCAAUGUGCGACAUUGUCGCAAUGACUCCAGGUGCUAUACUGGCUUCGGUGUGGAAUGAAAUCAGUGGCAGUUCCUUGACAGGAAGGCGGUGUUUUGAUAUGAAAUCUCUGCGCUUGUCGUAUGUGAGAUCUUCGAGAGCUCUCAUAUCGCCCUUUAUGAGUUUGCAUAUGAUGAACUCCAUGACUCUACGUGCCUCCUUGUCGCAGAUCUGACCUUCACGGAGGACAUCAGAAGCAACUGGGGUGCCACCGUAAGGGCUUUGGACCAAUGCCAGGCCCGCAACUUUGUCUUUUAGGUCAGACCAGUACAAGGCGAGCGCUGCAGCUGCAUCAACACCACCUUUGCUAUGCCCUAGAAGCAGUAUGCUUUUUCUCGAUCCCCAGUAGAGCUCUUCAAUGUAUUCUUUCAAUUCCCGGGCAUUUUUCUCCACGGAUGCCUCACUGUGGAUCUUGGCAAUAUGACAAGUUAAGCCCAUCUUUGAAAACAAUCUCUUGGUAUUCAGAAAAUAUAGUGGGCUAAGGUUGCUAAAAAGGCCGGGAAUUAGUAAAUAAACCAGAGUAUUAGGUAAACAGUGUUCCCCAUUCCUUAUAUAAUGAAGCACCUCCAUGAAUCUUCCUGUACCAUCCACCACAGGAGGUAAUCCACUUCUCUGCAACCACCCAAUGUCCUCUGAAGACCCCUGUAAUGUUGUUCUAACGCGACAUAUGAACCCACACACUUGAUCUUUAGUAUAUAU